CUGCAGUGAUGAUUUUAGAUGUGACUGACCUGGAAUUGCUGGCCUCCGGGUCCGCUCUGUCCAGGGAAUGACGUCGACAUAAUCUUCUCUCUGAGCAG